UCCGCCCGGAAAUUACGAACGUCAGUUUAAAACCCAAAGGACCUGGCGGUGCUUAACAUCCCCCUAGAGGAGCCUGUUCUAGAACCGAUAACCCCCGUUAAACCUCACCUUUUCUUGCCCUUCCCGCCUAUAUAUCGCCGCCGUCAGCUUACCCUGUGAAGGCUCUAAAGUAAACGAAAUUGAUCACAGUCCAAAACGUCAGGUCAAGGUGUAGCGUAUGAAAAGGAAAGAAAUGGGCUACAUUCACUAAGUUAGUGAAAACGAAUAUUAUACUGAAAAACAUAAUUGAAGGAGGAUUUAGUAGUAAGCAAGGAAUAGAGUGCCCU
rnacentral:rRNA from 1 species